rnacentral:rRNA from 1 species
CCUACGGGUGGCAGCAGUGGGGAAUAUUGGGCAAUGGGCGCAAGCCUUACCCAGCAAUACCGCGUGAGUGAAGAAGGUUUUCGGAUUGUAAAGCUCUUUGAUCAGGGACGAACAGAUGACGGUACCUGAAGUACAAGCCCCGGCUGACCACGUGCCCGCAGCCGCGGUGAAACCGAGGGGGCGAGCGUUGUCCAGUAUGACUGGGCGUAAAGGGUGCGUGAGCGGGAUAAUAAGUUAUGAGGGAAACACCCAGGGCUUAACUCGGGUGCUGCUUCUGAGACUGUUGGGCUGGAGUGCGGGAGAGGUUAGUGGAAUUCCUAGUGUAGCGGUGGAAUGCGUAGAUAUUAGGAGGAACACCAGAGGCGAAGGCGAUUAACUGGACCGUAACUGACGCUGAGGCACGAAAGUGUGGGUAGCAAACAGGAUUAGAUACCCGAGUAGUC